AACGAACGCUGGCGGCAGGCCUAACACAUGCAAGUCGAACGAGAAGCCACCUUCGGGUGGUGGAAAGUGGCAGACGGGUGAGUAACGCGUGGGAACGUGCCUUUCGGUUCGGGAUAACCCAGGGAACCUUGGGCUAAUACCGGAUACGCCCUCCGGGGGAAAGAUUCAUUGCCGAAAGAUCGGCCCGCGUCGGAUUAGCUAGUUGGUGGGGUAAUAGCCUACCAAGGCGACGAUCCGUAGCUGGUCUGAGAGGAUGACCAGCCACACUGGGACUGAGACACGGCCCAGACUCCUACGGGAGGCAGCAGUGGGGAAUAUUGGACAAUGGGCGAAAGCCUGAUCCAGCCAUGCCGCGUGGGUGAAGAAGGCCUUAGGGUUGUAAACCCCUUUCAGCGGGGACGAUAAUGACGGUACCCGCAGAAGAAGUCCCGGCUAACUCCGUGCCAGCCGCCGCCGUAA
rnacentral:rRNA from 1 species